UACGUAGGGUGCAAGCGUUAAUCGGAAUUACUGGGCGUAAAGCGCACGUAGGCGGCUAUUCAAGUCGGGGGUGAAAGCCCGGGGCUCAACCCCGGAACUGCCCUCGAAACUAGAUAGCUAGAAUCUUGGAGAGGCGAGUGGAAUUCCGAGUGUAGAGGUGAAAUUCGUAGAUAUUCGGAAGAACACCAGUGGCGAAGGCGACUCGCUGGACAAGUAUUGACGCUGAGGUGCGAAAGCGUGGGGAGCAAACAGG
rnacentral:rRNA from 1 species